UCCUCAUCUUCUUAUUUAGAUUCAGGGCUCUCUCAGGUGCCCUGGCCUUCCAUCCUGACGAUAUUGAAGGCCAUGGAGACAGAGUCACCAGGCCAGUAAGGACUGGUCAUUCGAUGGCCUCAAGUCCAUAUGUGUGUUUAUUAUGAUUAAUGUUGACCGUCAACUUGAUGCAACCUGAAAUGACACGGGAAGGAGGUGACUGCUGAGACCAGGUUGGCCUACAGGCAUGUGUGAGGAUGACUGUCUUGACGGAUGUGGGGAGACUCAUCCUGAACUCUACGGUAGCCACAGUUUUUCUCUACCCAGACCAUCGUUACCGUCAUAAAAAAAUUCAACACGGGUCACACCUGGAACGUAUCUCGAGGGAAAAUGUUCUACCCCAGGUCAUCAAGCCGUUCAGCUGCUUGCAGAACGAACAGCAUUAGAGUACGGAAAGCAAGUGCUCGCUACACGGGCUCAGAUGUGUCCGCUUGCCCGUAAAAUCAUCACCCCGCUGAUCUAACCAUGCUCAUCUCGCGCUAUUGAAGGGUGUAUUAUCAGUUUAGACAGCCCUAGAAGGGAGAGUGUGAAGCCAUCUCAGCUAAUUUGAUUUGCUUAUUUCCUCUCAGACACUCUCCCUAUUUCCCCGAUUAUUAUUACUUCCUCAUAGUGGAAACUAGGAAGCGCUAUAUUCUGCUUUUCCAAAUUACUCUUAAUUUAUGAUUCCAUGUGCGUCUGCAUAGCUUUCGAACCUGCCACUUUAUAGCUCUACUUUAUGAAAUUAAUUUUACCAGGCACAUUCCUGUGGACCACAUUCUUACAGCUCUGGAAUAAACUUGAGGUAGGCCGUAUUUCACGCAGCCGUCUCCUAUUCUCAGAUAUUUGGUUUUCCCCUGCUGGGUGUUUGCUUUUGACAUCACAAAUUGCAUUACUAUAAAUAUUUUUAAAGUAAAUAAUUUCUGAAACUGCUUAUUUCCUUCCAGAAUGUUCCAAGGAGAAUUACUGUGAUAAAUCAUAACUGGUAUUUUUUUCAUGGCUUGUCACACACAUUUUCAAGAAAACCUCGAGCUGAUACUUUUUUGUCAUUCUCAGAUCCAACAGCAUUUUGUAAUUCAUAUUUGCUAUAUGUGUAUAGUGACAUCUGAAUGUUGAUAAAAUUUAGACUCACUAAAUAAACUGUUGGGAUAUGAA